UUUUUCUUUCAUUUUCAAGGCAAGAUUUCAAAAGUUAUAUUGGAAAUACAGUCAAGGGUUGCAAAAUUCCGAGGAAUAUUCAAAAAGGAAACUUUUCAGGUUUUGGAGACAGUGACAGUGGAUAUUUCAAAUUCAAUUACUUUAAACUUAUUAAACAAUUAAACAACUUAGUAUUGUGAAGAAUAUAUAUUAAUUGUAGUAGGAGGAAAGUAAUCUCUUGUCAACCGAUCACAAAUACUGGAAUAAAUUAACACGUAGGAUAAGACAAUCAAUGGAGAGUAAAUGGAUUUGAUGACAUAGUAGUUUCUCUCUAUGAUAAAUAUUACGUUCAUCCAUUAUUAUACAGUAGUGGUUCAUGGUAGAUUCAAUAAAAGGUUGUAGUGAUUUACUUAAUGAGAUGUAAUCUCCUCUGACCUCAUUCUUCAGUCCACGGAUCGACUCACAACCCCCAUGGAAGAAUACCUUCAAUGACGUCGCGAAGGAUCAAUUUUACCUUUUUUAAGAGCCGACCAGUGGGACUGAAUGGGACUGGACUGGACAGGCUGUUCUCAGUCCUCAGUCCUAAAUAAGGACUGACACAAGACUACCGCUAAUCUCCUUCUCCAAUAAUAUAUUUGGCUACUCAUUACGUCGCUUUGCUUCACUUAGAAAAGUUAUUUCAUUAUUUAUUAAAAGAUACCUAUAAUUGAAUUUCUACUUUCCGCUUACGUAGACACUAAUUUUGAGAUAAUAAAUGCGAAGAUAUGACGUGCUGGCAAACA
rnacentral:lncRNA from 1 species